CGUGACGCAGAAGGAUGCCGAUGUGCGAAUAGGGCCGCGGGGGAGCAGAGAGAGCGCAGAAUGGCGAUUUUGGGGGUUGCUUAGUGGCGAGCUCCUCCUCAUGAAGGAAAGGCUGGCAGAAAGCUUUGUUUCCUACGAACAGAAUCCCCAGAACAAGAAGAGGAGGUGAGAAGCUGGCUUAAGUGGGGUUUCUCAUGGAGGGAAGCUUCAGCUGAGAAGCGGAGGUUGCCAUCUGCCGCCUCCCUGCUGUUUCCUGGCUGAGAACGAGCUCCCCACAGCGCGGCCUGUUCUGGAACUUGAAUCAUGAGAAGCAGCUGGGCUACACCUCCUUCGGCAUCAGACUUUCUUGCUCUCUGCUAUGGCUCACCCUUGAAUUCUUUCCUGUGUGAAGCCAGCAACCCACGCUUGGCAGCCGUCCCAGGACCUUGGUCGUGACCUGGGACAUGUGUCCCAGCUCUUUUCCUGCGACAGAAACACGAAGAGACACAACCACCUCCUGCAGUAUUUUGGAAUUGAUAAUUGCUGACUUUUUAAUUGUUUGGGCUGGUGAAACCGUCAAGUGUGUACAAGUUGUAUCAAAGCCUGCUACAUGCCUCUGUCUUCUGUGAGCAGGUGGCGCAGUGAUAAAGAAUCUGUCUGCUGACGCAGGAGACUUGGGUUCGAUCCCUAGGAUGGGAAGACUACCUGGGGAAGGAUAUGCUGGUCAAGCCCAGUAUGCUUGCCUAGAAAAUCUCAGACAGAGGAGGCUACUGGGCUACAGUCAUGGGGUUAAAAAAGAGUCAGACACAACUAAGCACACGUACACACACACAUUGUGA